CAGGAAAUGAAGCGUUGAGUUAGAAUCUCUGACGAUCAUUUUGGAUCAAGGUGAAGCGAAAAGUAUAUUCUCAAAGAAACAGUGUCAUUUCUGGGAUAUUUACGCCUCGAAUUGAAAGACGUCCUAAGUGUAAGUUGACUGCAGAGGUGCUAUUAAAGCUUAGAGAACUCCAAGAAGUUCCACUCCUGAAUGUGUUGUUGCAAAUAUUCCUUUACGGUGUUAGUGGCACAGAAAGUUGCUGUUUGGAAAUUCAUAGUUAACACACAAAUUCUUAACUGUGCAGAACUGGGUUGUAACAGAUCAACCGCUACAGACCAAUGGGCAUCAGUAAUAUGCAAGCAGGUCAACAUACAGCAACCACUGCAGAAAUCAUCGGCUGCCGCACGUGUGCAGCAGCCAUGGCUCAGUUGCCUCGCUCGCCCUUUGCUGCGGAACACCGCACCGUCUCUGCCUCUCACCCGCCCGACGACACCUCAUCCGACUCUCACCUCAUUGCGGCACCGACAGCUGCAAUUCCAGCAGUAGUGCCUCGGCUUCCAAAUCAUUCCUAGUUCAACGCAUCUUUAUUAUCUAUCUGAGUCUCCACUACAUCGAUAGAUGGAAG